rnacentral:rRNA from 1 species
UACGUAGGUGGCAAGCGUUGUCCGGAAUUACUGGGCGUAAAGAGCGCGUAGGCGGGGAUUUAAGUCAGGAGUGAAACUGGCGGCUCAACUGCCAGCCUGCUCUUGAAACUGGAUCUCUUGAGGGUAUGAGAGGAAAGCGGAAUUCCCAGUGUAGCGGUGAAAUGCGUAGAUAUUGGGAGGAACACCAGUGGCGAAGGCGGCUUUCUGGCAUACAACUGACGCUGAGGCGCGAAAGCGUGGGGAGCAAACGGGAUUAGAUACCCCUGUAGU